GGUGAAUGUGCCCCAGUCCAGGCAGGGGGCUCAGGAAAACUCGGCCUCUGUGAAGUGGGCAAGGCCCUGGAUCAUGGUGACACACUGGGCCAGCUGCUCCAGGACAGCCUGCUGAUGGGGAGGACCAGCGAGGCCCAGGAGGCAGCGUCCUCUCCUUAAUCUGGGAGGCUUAACUUUCAGGCCCAUUCUGUGCUUGGGCCCUUGCCAGUGAGGAAGGUGCCACUGUUGAGCCCAUGCUCAGGGGCCGGAAGUCACCCAGGGACGGCCGGAAGUCUCACCUCGGGUAGCACAGUGAAAACCACGGGCAGGGCUGUGUGAGGAGCAGCAGGAAGUCAGGGCCUUGGGUGAGCCCCAUGGGUCCCUGUGGCAGGCGCAGGCGCUCGGUGCCCUGGGCACACACGCCAUGAGCCAGAAGGGGCAGCUGAAGGCCACCGAGAAGAGCACAGGGCCAGGGCUGGAGCGGCGUGGGCUUGCGGUGCCACGUCUGAGACCUCAAGAACUUUAAAGCAAGAAUGAGGUCUCAUCGCAGGACUCAAAUCUGGAGAUGGCACAAAAUGUAUAGGACCCUCAAGGAGGGGGCCUCCUAGCUACUUGGGAGGCAGAGGCAGGAGGACAGCAAGUUUGAGGCCAACCCCGGCAACUUAGUGAGAGUCCCAUUUAAAUAAAUAAACAUAUAAUUAAUUAAUUAAUAAAAGGGGUGGAAAAGGAGCUCAGUAUUGUCUAGCAUGCAUGGGGCCGGGGUUCAACCCUGUGCUCUUAGUAAACAGUUAUUAUGGAAAGUAUCACCAUUUCUACUUAGACCUACUCUAUUAAUAAUAUUUAAUGUGGUUUAUUUCAGCAAUGAAGAUUAAAUCUGAAUAUACUUAGAGUAAAUCCCAAUAAUAUUGAUGUCAAUAAAUACUCAUCAAUUGGCUUGAAUAAAUGUUUAUUGCCCAACACAUGUUCUUCCCAGCGAUCACCAAGUGCUGUCCUGGAAGCACUGGGGAUCUAGAGAUGACCAAAAGUGGGCAUGGAUUUCUACCUUUCUGGUGCUCAUCUUCUUGUUGGAGGACAGACACUAAGACGCUAAAGAAAAGUAAACUGUGUUUGUGAGAAGUGCUGUGGUGAAACUAAAGCAGGAGGUGGGUGGGAGUGCUGCGUUUUUUGUAGGGAGGCCAGGGCUCCUCCCUGCCAAGGUGACUUCUGAACACAGAACUGUGGCCCAUUUGGGAAGACAGCUCCAUGCCGGGACUGGAAGGAGUCUGAGUGAGCAGGAAAAGCUUCUGCCUGGAGGAAGCUCCAGGCCCUGCCCAGCUGGGAAGGGGCCUUCCAAGCCCUCGGAAUGUCCUACCUGGUGAGCAUGAGUUGGGGCCGCAGGCCACACCGGUGCUUUAGGACCAAAAUGGUGAUUUGCCACAGGGCCUGCGGCACAGUGCAGCCAUCUGACCUCUGGAGGGCGCUGAAGUCUGGCUCACCCAUUCCCACGGGAGAGGUGUGAAUCCAGGCAGCCCCUAAGCCCACAGCUUCCAGCCUUCGGCCAACCACAGCAGCCCGGACAGAGUUUACCCUGAGACAACUCACGGCCUGAGGAUCUGAAGUCAGAGUGGGUGGGGCCAGCACCUUGGAGUUUAGCUUUGCUCCUCAGAAGGAGGGCUGGGAGCGGAGUGUAUUCCGCAGUGGGUGGAGGGCCAGCCCAGGCAGCCCCCUGGGAGGCUGUGGUUGGGUGAGAAUGGACGGAGGGUCCCAAGUUCAAGGCCAGCCUGGGCAACUGAUUACAAAUGGAUCAUCGUUUCCUAAGAUGGGGAGACCAAGGGAGAGGCAGUUGGGGGUGAGAGAUUGGAACUUAUUUUCAGACCUGUGACAUUUGAGAUGCCUGUGAUUCUCAAGUGGAAAUGUUGAGUAAGUCGUUAGAGACAGGAUGUGAUAUUGUAAUUAUGCCGUUAUUGCUACUGCUAACGUAAGUCCCUGUGAACGUAAUUACUAGAACAAGCCUUGGUGACGCUUCUACUUAUACAGGCGCCAAUGAAUUAUUACAGAAGGCCUCAGCUGCCAUUCUGUUAGAGGAAGCUUCUAGAAAUAAAAUAUUAUUGUUAUUUGGAGGUCCCAGCGAAUAUUUUAGGAAAAAAGCCUCUAUUCCUAUAACAUUUAUAUAAUAUCGACA
rnacentral:lncRNA from 1 species